GGCCAUCUCUCUGCGCCUCCACGAGAACCACCAACGUCCAGACUUCUUUGGCAUCUUAUCCUUCACCAGUCGGUCAAUGCUACUCUGUAGAACACACGUGUCAGAGUCAAGGCCCGGGGGCCGGAUGCGGCCCUCCAGGAUUUCGAUGUUCCAGUUUACUAGAAGAUACCUUUGGCAGAUUCUUCUGGAAGGCGGUCAUGGAGAGGAUCAUUGGUGCAGCCACGGCCCAGUUGUAAUAACUGUGGGAAGGCGGAGUCAGACCGUGAGCGGUGCUGAUGCUGAUCAACACCUCACUGAAAGAAGUUUUAUUCUUACUUGGAGUUUACACAGAUGACAAGACUGGGAUCUUCGAUGAUGCCUGGAUUACCGACGAAGUCCUGGUACGUCACUAGGUGUUCCUUGAACUUCUCUAGAGAGCGACAUGCUGACGUCCAUGGUGUAGGAGGCGGAGUCUGACAGGUAUUCUGUUCCGCUGUCCAUCGCUCCACUGCCCACCGACUGCGGCGUCUGGCUGCCGGAACAGGAGCUCGGCUCCGCCCCCUGCAGACACGCCGU